AGGAACAAUCACAAGGUCAAGAAACACUUAACGGACAGUGGAUCUUGGAAGACUUCAAUCCACAUUAGAAAUC